rnacentral:misc_RNA from 1 species
UCGAUGGCCGCGCCGUGAGCGCCUGGCGGGAUCGGCCGGCCACUGACCACACCCUUACUUUACGAGCACCUUUCGUUCUCCUUCGGCGGGGCGACCCGCCGCUGGAACCUCAUCACGAACCUUUUUUGCAUCUAGCAUUACCUGUUCUGAUAAAUAUAAUCGUUA